AAAUUGAAGAGUUUGAUCAUGGCUCAGAUUGAACGCUGGCGGCAGGCCUAACACAUGCAAGUCGAACGGUAACAGAAAGCAGCUUGCUGCUUUGCUGACGAGUGGCGGACGGGUGAGUAAUGUCUGGGAAACUGCCUGAUGGAGGGGGAUAACUACUGGAAACGGUGGCUAAUACCGCAUAACGUCGCAAGACCAAAGAGGGGGACCUUCGGGCCUCUUGCCAUCAGAUGUGCCCAGAUGGGAUUAGCUAGUUGGUGAGGUAACGGCUCACCAAGGCGACGAUCCCUAGCUGGUCUGAGAGGAUGACCAGCCACACUGGAACUGAGACACGGUCCAGACUCCUACGGGAGGCAGCAGUGGGGAAUAUUGCACAAUGGGCGCAAGCCUGAUGCAGCCAUGCCGCGUGUAUGAAGAAGGCCUUCGGGUUGUAAAGUACUUUCAGCGGGGAGGAAGGUGUUGUGGUUAAUAACCGCAGCAAUUGACGUUACCCGCAGAAGAAGCACCGGCUAACUCCGUGCCAGCAGCCGCGGUAAUACGGAGGGUGCAAGCGUUAAUCGGAAUUACUGGGCGUAAAGCGCACGCAGGCGGUCUGUCAAGUCGGAUGUGAAAUCCCCGGGCUCAACC
rnacentral:rRNA from 1 species